GAUCCUGGCUCAGGAUGAACGCUGGCGGCGUGCUUAACACAUGCAAGUCGAACGAAGCACUUUACCUGAUUUCCUUCGGGGGUGGAUUGUUCUGUGACUGAGUGGCGGACGGGUGAGUAACGCGUGGAUAACCUGCCUCACACAGGGGGAUAACAGUUGGAAACGACUGCUAAUACCGCAUAAGCGCACAGCACCGCAUGGUGCAGUGUGAAAAACUCCGGUGGU
rnacentral:rRNA from 1 species